rnacentral:rRNA from 14 species
GAGGUGUUGGGUUAAGUCCCGCAACGAGCGCAACCCCUGUGAUCAGUUGCCAGCAUUAAGUUGGGGACUCUGGUCAGACUGCCUUCGUAAGGAGUGAGGAAGGAGGGGACGACGUCAAAUCAUCAUGGCCCUUACGUCCAGGGCUACACACGUGCUACAAUGGCCGGUACAACGGGCAGCGACUGCGCAAGUAGAAGCUAAUCCCUAAAAACCGGUCUCAGUUCGGAUCGGGGUCUGCAACUCGACCCCGUGAAGUCGGAAUCGCUAGUAAUCGCGGAUCAGCAAUGCCGCGGUGAAUACGUACCCGGGCCUUGUACACACCGCCCGUCAAGCCAUGGAAGCCGGGAGCGCCUGAAGUUGGGGGUUUAAAUCCCUACCUAGGGCGAAACUGGUAACUGGGGCUAAGUCGUAACAAGGUAGCCGUACCGGAAGGUGCGGCUGGAUCACCUCCUU